AGCGGGACCCACGUAUCGUCUUCAACCUCCAGGUUAAGUUCGACAAGAAUACGGGACGAACAAACCGACUAAAAUCCCCAGAAAAUCGCCCCGAUUCCGUUCAAAUCCGUGCCCCCUACUCCACGAAAACUCCUCCAUAUAUACUCCCGCAUCGGCCUCCCUCCGUUUUUCUAAAAAUUACAAAUCCUAGACCACCACAGAGCUCGUUCCAAUCUCGCCGGAGUUCCACCGUCCUGAACUCGAAGACAAGACCAAAAGAAACCAGCAAACGGGGACGCCGGAGCUUCACCGGAGACGAAGUUCAGUUGGAACCACCGCUGUUCGGAACGAGGAGGGUCGCUGAAGCCGACGUGAACUGAAUCAUCUCGUCGAGCCACACGUCAGCGUCAUCUUCGUGGAGCCGGAGGCCGCCACAACAACGUCGCCGCACACGCCCAGUCGCCGCGUCCGUCUGGUCGUCGACCACCUGAUUGUGCGGAGUGCGCGAGUGCUGCUGAGGAGGAAUAUUGUUUAGAGUGCUGUUCGGAUCAAGG